ACUUGGCUACAUCCGCC
rnacentral:tRNA from 2 species